AACGAACGCUGGCGGCGCGCCUAAUACAUGCAAGUCGAGCGAGAAGACGUAGCAAUACGUUUGUAAAGCGGCGAACGGGUGAGGAAUACAUGGGUAACCUACCCUCGAGUGGGGAAUAACUAGCCGAAGGUUAGCUAAUACCGCGUACGCUCCUUGGACUUCGGUUCAGGGAGGAAAGCGAUACCGUGGGUAUCGCGCUCUUGGAUGGGCUCAUGUCCUAUCAGCUUGUUGGUGAGGAACGGCUCACCAAGGCUUCGACGGGUAGCUGGUCUGAGAGGACGAUCAGCCACACUGGCACCGCGACACGGGCCAGACUCCUACGGGAGGCAGCAGUAAGGAAUAUUGCGCAAUGGGCGAAAGCCUGACGCAGCGACGCCGCGUGGGGGAUGAAGGU
rnacentral:rRNA from 1 species